CAAAGUUGAACUGACUAGGAAUUGUAUCAAAGUCGUACUCUAAACCAGAUUCGUUGAAUAUAAUAGUAACAAAGUCAUUUCCAAUAUGACGCUUCUUUAAUGUGCACCCAGGGUCAUGUUCUAUAUUAGUUGGCAUCAUUGUAGUGCAAUGGAACACCAUUUGGGUAACUUUAUCUUUCCAACAAUACGCAAACGCACCGUCUAUAUCAUUUUCCCUAUCUAAACCACCAGCGAAAACUUUUUGAUCUGUUUUUAAUUCGAAUAAUGUGCCCAGACCGUUAAGAAAAGUAAGGAAAUCUUCAGAAGGAUUUGUAUUUGCCAAUAUGUCUGCUUCUCGACGCUGUUGGUACCCAACGUACACAAGACCAGCCUUCAGUGAUUCAAUUACAGGAAUACGGUCAAAAACACUUAUAGCCCUACGCACAGAAUCAUCAUUAGAGGGAAGCAGAAGAGGCUGAUUGUAUAAAGAAAUACCAUGUGGAUCCAAGAAAUGAGAGACAAAGCUGCUAGGAGUACACAAAAGCCCCCUCGUAAGAGCCUUUGAACUUGUGAGAUUUUCCUCCCAUAAAAACUUUUGCAGACUUGCUUCAUUUCGAAAAGUAUACUGCGUAGUACCUGUCGGGCGACGAAUGACAGCUUCUAAGAAUCCAGAGUUUACCGACACGUUUAUCGUAAAGAGUGAAUUACCACGAAUCCAAGUUUCACUUUCCACGUCUGAGUCAACAAAAGUAGAUGUUUGGUUAUUGAUGUCGGAAUUAGAAUAGCAAAAUUGUUGCAUCAUGUCAUAUUGAACAAGACAUAAAUCUUCCAAUGGUUUACCUUCAGAAGCAAGCUUCAGUCCACGCAAUAUCCAAGGUACGAAUUUUUUACGCUCAGUUAAUCUUAACGAAAGAAACCAUAUUUGUAACACGCUAUAGGCUAGAGCUAGAACGUAUGAUGAGUAAGAGUUUUUUAAUAUGCUCUCCGUAUCAUUUGAAUCUUUCGACUCCUUAGUGAAAUCUCUGUGCUGAAUGUAUUUCAAAGCAAUUGCAAAAAUUUGUCUAUAGUCAGCAUCCGUAAAGUUUGCAAUAAGAUCAGGUAAUCUUGCUAAACUGCAUAAAAAUUCUAAAAUGUGAACGCUCAAAUCAGGUUUGGUGAUUAACCUUGACAAAGUGACUAAAAUUGCAGGUAACUGCUUUCGAAUUGAAACGGGUAAUUCAUAACAGCAUAACAUAAGUGAAUGAAUAGAAACAUGACAUGCUUCGUUCCAUUUUUGCAACCCUGCAAAAAAAACGCUGACUAAUUCAUCUUCCUGAGCCCUGCUGAAUUGAUCAUGAUAAACAAAAAGCAUUUGUACGUUUUGCAAGAUUGGUAUCAUGAUGUUGGCCUUACGAAUAUUAGAAGGAAUUUCAGCAGAUAUAGAAACUCUUUCAAAAACGAUAUCACACAUAAAAUCAAGUAAAUUAUAGAUUUCUUCUAAUGCGCCGAUAAACAUACUCCUAUUACUUAUUUGAUCAGCAAGGUGGGUAAUCAUGAACAUAAGGAUAGUCCAGUUAGACUCUGUAGCCAUGGAUUUUCGAUAAAACCUUAACAAGGAAGACGUUGGGAACGUUACAAAGUCCUUGCCAUAUUCUGUAGAAUGAUUUGAAAUUUUAAUCAAAUCGUUUUCUUUUCGUUCCCAAAUAUGCUUUUCUACUGUUGCUGAGUUAACAAAAGAAUCAGAAAUGGGAUAAACUGCAGGAAUCAGUUCUGAAUCAACGUUUAAGACUUUGAAGGGUUCAUUCAAAUCUAUAUUCUCACAUAUAUAAAUAGACGUCCCAUUUGCUCGAAAUCGAAGAAAGAAUUGUAAACACAACAUUCGAGAAACAAAAGGGAAAGAUGGAGUCUCCAAGAUUUCUAACAUUUUAGCCAGUGUUUCUUGAAUAGGCACAGCAUCCCUUAAGUCAUAAUAAUAAUAAAAAAGACGAAUUAAUGUACUCGUGGCAAGUCUGCGAACAGUAACAGAGCUCGUGUCGGAAAUUAGCUGUUGAAAAAUAUGAUCGAUACAAUCCUUAAGUCCCGGGUUUUGAAAAUUGACAGACAAGAAAAACAACAUAUUAUAUACAGGAGAAACAACACAAUCAUCAGAUUCCUUAGAAAAGCUUUCAAUUACUGGAAAAAGGAAUUUCGAACACAAAAUGGGGGCCGAAUUUUCAUCAGCAACAGAGCAAGCAUCUUCCACAAGCUUAAAUAAAAGAGCUCGAUCUUCAAGAUCAAAUGUUUUGCAUUGGUAAAUACCAAGUAAAAAUUCAAGGUUGAAUACCCAAUAUUGAUUGCAAGGAAAUAUAAGAUUGUAAGUCUCAAAAAGACGUAAAAGUUUUUUUCGAAUUUUCGGCUUUAACACUGGAAGAACAUCCUUCAAAAAGAAUACCAGCUUAACCUGAAAUUGUUGCAGCAGUGGAAUCAAGGCUUCGAAAUCCAAAAAAUCCAAAACACGAUCAUAUAUAUUAGCAAAUGCUGCAGUCUUCGAAAAUGCUUCCUUCGAUGUACUAGCUUUCAAAGGUAGAUAUUGUGAACAAUACAUUAAAAUAUUAAGAAUCCGAUGCCAAUCCAAAAAAUUAAGGCGAUUUAAUAUAGAAGGUGUACGUAAAAAAAGAUACACAGUACCAAGGAUCUCAAAAUCAACAUUCUCAUUAAAUCC